GACACGAUGGCGGAAGGUAUCGCACCUCGAUUAUUGAUGGUCCAGUUUCCUGGUUCGAAUCCAGGUCGAGUCU